CAAGCUGCAGUUUCGGCCAGUGAAACCCUUAUUUCAGACAACAUGAGAGCAGCCGUUAUUCUGUUAUAUAUCUGUUUGAUUGGAGGUGUGUGCGUCUCCUCUGUCUGGUCGAACAUACUGAAUGGCAUUGUGGGACAGACGGUCACGUUCCCCUCAGUGGUGAAGGAGAUCGACUACAUUUUCAAAGAUGGCAGCAGAAUUGCGAAGGUGGUCAAUCGCAUCCUCCAGCUCACCAAUGGCAGCUACGGCACGCGGCUGCAGUGGAACAGCAGCACUGGACUCUUCUCUCUAUCUGACCUGAGGAGGGGGGACUCUGGAGGGUACAGUGUACAGCACAAGGAUGGCACUACAGCCUACCAGCUGGUUGUGUGGGAUCCAGUACCCAGACCGCAGGUGUCCAGCAGGAACAAGAUGAAACCCAACUGCAGUGUGCUGUGCUCUGUGGAGAAUGGGAGAGAGGUCACCCUGUCCUGGAAAAGAGAGGGGCAGACACUGUCCCACACCAGCAGCCCUAAUCUCACCUCCAACCUGUCCCUCCCUCUGGAGAUAGAAACAAACAGCGCCCCCUACAGCUGCGUGGCAACAAACCCUGUCAGUAAUAAGACUGUCACAGUCAGACCUGAAGAGCACUGCUUCGGUGUGCGCGUCUCCUCUGUCCAGUCGAACAUGCUGAACGGCAUUGUGGGACAGACGGUCAUGUUCCCGGCUGCAGUGAAGGAGAUCGACUACAUUUUCAAAGAUGGCAGCGUAAUUGCGAAGGUGGUCAAUCAGACCAUCCAGCUCAUCAAGGACAGCUACGGCACCCGGCUGCAGUGGAACAGCAGCACUGGACUCUUCUCCCUGUCUGACCUGAGGAAGGGGGACUCUGGAGGGUACAGGGUACAGCACAAGGAUGGCAAAACCGAUGACUACCAGCUAGUUGUGUGGGAUCCAGUACCCAGACCACAGGUGUCCAGCAGGAACAAGAUGAAACCCAACUGCAGUGUGCUGUGCUCUGUGGAGAAUGGGAGAGAGGUCACCCUGUCCUGGCACAGGGAGGGGCAGACACUGUCCCAUACCAGCAGCCCUAAUCUCAGCUCCCCCCUGUCCCUCCCUCUGGAGAUAGAAACGAACAGCGCCCCCUACAGCUGCGUGGCAACAAACCCUGUCAGUAAUAAGGCUGUCACAGUCAGACCUGAAGAGCACUGCUUCGGUGUGUGCGUCUCCUCUGUCCAGUCGAACAUGCUGAACGGCAUUGUGGGACAGACGGUCACUUUCCCCUCAGUGGUGAAGGAGAUCGGCUUCAUUUUUUAAAAAAUGGCAGCGGGAUUGCGAAGGUGGUCAAUCGCAUCCUCCAGCUCACCAAUGGCAGCUACGGCACCCGGCUGCAGUGGAACAGCAGCACUGGACUCUUUUCCUUGUCUGACCUGAGGAGGGGGGACUCUGGAGGGUACAGAGUACAGCACAAGGAUGGCAAAACCGAUGACUACCAGCUGGUUGUGUGGGAUCCAGUACCCAGACCACAGGUGUCCAGCAGGAACAAGAUGAAACCCGGCUGCAGUGUGCUGUGCUCUGUGGAGAAUGGGAGAGGGGUCACCCUGUCCUGGCACAGAGAGGGGCAGACACUGUCCCACACCAGCAGCCCUAAUCUCACCUCCAACCUGUCCCUCCCUCUGGAGAUAGAAACGAACAGCGCCCCCUACAGCUGCGUGGCAACAAACCCUGUCAGUAAUAAGACUGUCACAGUCAGACCUGAAGAGCACUGCUUCGGUGAGAAACUGUGAAGCUCUCGUAUUAAACAGUGAAGGAUGGAACUCCAGAAGGAGACUCCAGAGCCAUACUGAUCAAUGCCGGUUUCGUUAUGCAUACUUGCAUACUUGAGUUCUGCAUUCUUCCAAGCAUGGCUAAUAGCCACACUUCAUAGUAUGUGAGAAUCUAUAAUUCUGUUUUGCUACAUUUGAAACGCAAUUGACAAUGUCAACAUUAGCAUCAGAAUAUCUUUUACCAAAGAAGAAAAAUAAAAGUAGAGUUGUGCAACCACUUUAUUGGUUGCCGGUUUGAAAUCAGCAUAACUCAGUGCUUCUUACGUGUGUUCUUCCAGCUACUAAGGGGAAAAAGAUAAUUGAAUGAAUGAUCCAAUUACUGAAUUUUUUUUCCUACAUCAGAAUUGUUAGGUGAUGUUAAGGUGCUAUUAAGGCUAACAAUUUAUUAGCUAAUCUGCUGUAUACGUAAUAGUUUCUUGCAGUUAUUACCACUGUCAAUUAAGGGGCAAUUUAAUAUUGAAUAAUUUUCAUUAUGUAGAUCAUAAAUAUAUAAUAAAUUUUUUUCUUAAUUGUUA